ensembl:snoRNA
ACAGACUCACCUUGCACCCAGCCUGUCCCAGGCGGGUGCUUUUUUCAUCUGCCAGAGAAACUUUCCGGGGUACUGUGGCCACUUUGACCUCUCGGGUGAUGCAGCUACCUGAGGGCACAGGG